ACUUCGCACUCAAGCACACUUCGGCAUUAAGCACGCUUAGAUCUAAUGUUUUCUCCCGAUGACCGUGCUUAAAGCUGGUAUGGACUGUAUAUGACAUGUUUUUCCUUUUUUUGUACUAGUUUACAUAUUAUAUUUUUGCCCCAUGUGCGUGUUAGAAUAGUUUGUGUUUUUCUUUUUGAGACCUGAAUGUUCUGAUGCUAAAUGAUUAUAUUUAUUUCAAGAUCGAUGGCUGGGUGCAAGACUCCGACAAACGCUAAUUAUGAAAGUCUGUUUGGGAUCGUUCACAAAUGACGUCGGUGAAAACUUGACGAAAGUUGACAUGGGGGGCCAUAUAAAGUCAACGUCAGCCAUGAUGCUCUUAAAGGUUGGGAAAAGAAAAGAAAGGAAGAAAAACUGUUAUAGACCA